UCUGGUGGCGAUGCGCUUGUGGGAAACACCCGUUCCCAUCCCGAACACGACGGUUAAGACACAAGCGGCCGAUGGUACUGCAUUGGAGACGGUGUGGGAGAGCAGGUGGCCGCCAGAU
rnacentral:rRNA from 1 species